CAUUAAGAAGCUAUGUACCAGCACUAGCCUUUUAAGCUAGAUAAAGAGGGAGCCCCCCCUCCUUAAUGA
rnacentral:tRNA from 1 species